GGAGCGGAGGUGGGAGAGGUGCGUGGGGCGGCCGGGUCGCGAGGGGUCUCUUUGCGGUGCCGGGGCCCCUCUGCGGCCCGGCGUGGGAAGCCCGUGGCCGGCGGAGACUGCUCGGAGCUGGGCGGGGAGCGCCGCGGCAGUCCGGCCGCAGGCAGCCAUCCCCUGCGGUGGCCGGCAUCCCCUCGGGACUCGUGGAGGCCUGGCGGCUCCCGAUCCUCGUCUGCGGCAGCCGCCUGAGAGAGCAGCGCGGCCGUAGCCGGGGGCCGGAGAGCGCUGGUGGGUGCAGAUGGAUGAGUCGUGCAGGGCAACGGAGGAGAGCCCAGGGGAGCGCUGUAAGAAGGUGACAGCCCUGCGAUGCUGCGGUGCCUGCGAGGUGAUGCCGCCGUGCUCGUUGCUGCUUCCUGGUAAGGAAAGGCCUCCUCCGCUCCUGCUGCAGCGUGGUGGUGUGUCGGACACGAUUCCCUGUGUCGGGUGAGGCCUAGGGCUGCCGGCGAGGUGGAGGAUGGCCUAGAGUCUGGAGCUGCAGAAGAGGCAGGGAGGAGAGGAGGGGAAAGAAGCAUCUGAACGGCUAAAUUGUGCCAGCAGCGCUGAGAGCGAGAGUCGCGGUGGAGGACGGCCUAGAGUCUGGAGCUGCAGAAGAGGCAGGGCGGAGAGGAGGGGAAAGAAGCAUCUGAACGGCUAAAUUGUGCCAGCAGCGCUGAGAGCGAGAGUCGCGCGGUGCCGUAAGGAAGGGAUGAGACGUUUUCCAGCACCAGCCAGAGCGUUCAGUGUUACGCGAAGAAUCUGUUCAAAAUGGUAUCGAUGUCUUCUCAGUGUCUCGUGAUGCUCAAGAGAUGCCCCCCGGCCCGGGUUUGCCUGCCGGUCGUUAAGCGUGGUGAAGGUAAGGGGCCAUCCCUCUGCCUGGGGGCUCCCGGCUCUGUCUCCAGCGGGUGCCCCGCAGGUGCGGCCGCGAGGGCUGCCUGGUGGGGAGAGUCGGGGCCCCCAGGGACCGGGGCUGUUUGUCGCCCCGGGGAGCCCAUCCCAGCGCGGGAGCGUGGCCGAGCAGAGCCCGAGAGAGAUGUGACACUGUCCUCUGGCACGCUCCCGCUCCGCCGUGGGGCGGCCGCUAGCCUGUGGACAGGGGCUGGGGGGGCUGC